GCGGGAUUGGCGGAACAGGCAUACGCGACGGUCUCAAAUACCGUUUUAUUCAGGGUUCGACUCCCUGAUUCCGCA
rfam:Ruminococcus albus 7 plasmid pRTMAL01, complete sequence.